AACCCAUGUUGAGGACAUUUCCACGGGAGCUCCUUGACCCAUUCCAUGUCUCAAAAAGAGACUCCAAUUUUGUUUGCAAAAAUGAAGAUAUCUCAUUCCUAAGCCU